UACAGAGGUCCCAAGCGUUGUUCGGAUUCACUGGGCGUAAAGGGUGCGUAGGCGGUCGGGUAAGUUUAAUGUGAAAUCUCCGGGCUUAACCCGGAAACUGCAUUGAAUACUAUUCGGCUUGAGGUCUGGAGGGGGGACUGGAAUUCUCGGUGUAGCAGUGAAAUGCGUAGAUAUCGAGAGGAACACCAGUGGCGAAGGCGAGUCCCUGGACAGGUCCUGACGCUGAGGCACGAAAGCUAGGGGAGCAAACAGG
rnacentral:rRNA from 1 species